rnacentral:rRNA from 1 species
AACGAACGCUGGCGGCGUGCUUAACACAUGCAAGUCGAACGGGACGGCCCUGCUUUUUGGGGGUGCUCGACUUGCGAACGGGUGAGUAACCCGUAAGUAACCUGCCCUUGACUUUGGGAUAACUUCAGGAAACUGGGUCUAAUACGAGAUAGGAUCUCCUGCUGCAUGGUGGGGGUUGGAUGGUUUCGGCGGUUGGUGGUGGACUCGCGGCCUAUGAGCUUGGUGGUGGGGUAGUGGCUUACCAAGGCUUUGACGGGUGGCCGGGCUGAGAGGGUGACCGGCCACACUGGGACUGAGAUAAGGCACAGACUACUAUGGGAGGCAGGAGAGGGGAAGAUUGUACAAUGGGCUGAAGCAUGAUGUGGCAACGCAGCGCGCGGGAUGACGGGCAUCGGGUUGUAAUGCGAAUUUGUCUUUGACGAAGCGUGAGUGACGGUAAUGGGUAAAGAAGCACCGGCUAACUACGUG